rnacentral:rRNA from 1 species
GAUGAACGCUGGCGGCGUGCCUAAUACAUGCAAGUCGAGCGAACAGACGAGGAGCUUGCUCCUCUGACGUUAGCGGCGGACGGGGGAGUAACACGUGGAUAACCUACCUAUAAAACUGGGAUAACUUCGGGAAACCGGAGCUAAUACCGGAUAAUAUGUUGAAUCGCAUGGUUAAACAGUGAAAGAGGGUCUUGCUGUCACUUAUAGAUGGAUCCGCGCCGCAUUAGCUAGUUGGUAAGGUAACGGCUUACCAAGGCAACGAUGCGUAGCCGACCUGAGAGGGUGAUCGGCCACACUGGAACUGAGACACGGUCCAGACUCCUACGGGAGGCAGCAGUAGGGAAUCUUCCGCAAUGGGCGAAAGCCUGACGGAGCAACGCCGCGUGAGUGAAGAAGGUCUUCGGAUCGUAAAACUCUGUUAUUAGGGAAGAACAAAUGUGUAAGUAACUAUGCACGUCUUGACGGUACCUAAUCAGAAAGCCACGGCUAACUACGUG